rnacentral:miRNA from 1 species
UGUGCGCAAUAAGAUUUUGCUA